GAAUAUAUGUCUUUUAAAUAUUGGCUUUUACUCCUGAGAAGUAAAUGUACCUUCUCUACACAGCUGAAAAUUCACAAUUUGCCUUUUGUCUGUAGGCUUUGGUAUCUCUAUUGACAUAACACAUCUUAUUCUAAUGGAAUCAUGGGAGUAUCACCUAUGACAGCCUGGUUACUUGCUCAGGUUAAAUGGCCUUCCUUGCCAGUGGCCCAUCCUAUAGGUCUUCAGGAGCAGAAGCCAUCAUGAUGCUUCAAAGUACUUAUUAUCUACAAAGUACAGCCAAAUUGGGCUUCUCUGGUGGCACUACUGGUAAAGAACCCACUUGCAAAUGCAGGAGAUGUAAGAGAGUGAUGCAGGUUUGAACCUUGGGUCAGGAAGAUCUCCUGGAGGAAGACAUGGCAACCCACUGCAGUAUUCUUGCCUGGAGAAUCCCAUGGGCAAAGGAGCCUGGCGGGCUGCAGUCCAUGGGGAGUGACUGCAGACUGCAGAGAGUCAGGCAUGACUGAAGCGCUAUAGCAUGCAUCACACACAGCUGAAUUACAAUCCAGAACACUGAAAAGAGAGUUCCAGAAAAACAUCUACUUUUGCUUUAUUGACAAUGCCAAAGCCUUUGACUGUGUGGAUCACCACAAAC
rnacentral:lncRNA from 1 species